UGCGGCAGACUCACAGGCUUCCACUUUACGCUUAGGCCUGCGACGCCUGAAAGACCUCGGAGUGGUACAUUUCGAAUUUGUUUGCAAAUUGGUCGA
rnacentral:lncRNA from 1 species